GAUUUCUGGUUGGAUACACCUAGCCCGCCACGGUUUCGUGUGUGAGUGCUGGUUUGUGUAUCUACCAUCCUUCUAGUACUAGAUCCUUAAGCAAUUAAGAAUCUAGAGCUAGAUCUUUUACUUUGAACAAAUUUGAUCGUUUCAAGAAGGCAUUUUGCUAUGAAAACAUUAGCAUGGAAUAAUAACUUAGGACUUCGGUUCUAUUUUGUUGGUUUCUAGAACUGCAGUAAUGAUUGAUAGGGAUAGUUGGGGGUGCUAGUAUUCAGUGGCCAGAGGUGAAAUUCUCGGAUUCACUGAAGACUAACUUAUGCGAAAGCAUU
rnacentral:rRNA from 1 species